CUCACCACCCUCUCCUGCCAUUCCCCUUGCUGCAAUGCCACAUCUCUUUCCUCCCUCCACCCACUGGGAUCACCAGCCCUGCACUGCUGAGUCUCCACCCUUUAUCUGCAAUGUCACUACACACCUCGCUGGAGGACUUACUAAUGCGGCUGAAACUUCAGAUUUUGGAGAACAGAAGAUGGUUUGGAGCAGAGGACCACUGUGGAUAUCCAAGUCUGGGCUGGUUUAGCUCUGCAUCUGUCUCUGCUGCACUGUCUGCAGGCACAGGAGUGCAGACUGUUUAAUUUGCACUGGGGACUCCCUUUGACUCCAUGAAUAAGAAAGCACCUUUAAACACUCCCCACCUCUACUGAGCUGCAUGUUCCUGGUUUCCAGCUCCUGUGUGCACUUGGCCAGCAGGAUCAGAGCUGGGCCU